CCUUCGAUAGCUCAGUUGGUAGAGCGGUGGACUGUAGAGGUGAUCAGAAUGCAUUCGAAGUUGGCAGGCAUCCAUAGGUCGCUGGUUCAAAUCCGGCUCGAAGGA
rnacentral:tRNA from 1 species